rnacentral:rRNA from 1 species
AUAAAUGAGAGUUUGAUCCUGGCUCAGGAUGAACGCUGGCGGCGUGGAUUAGGCAUGCAAGUCGAGUGGUGCCGCAAGGUAACCACGGCAGACGGGAGAGUAACACAUUGGUAACCUGCCCCGAAGUUCGGAAUAACCCGGCGAAAGCCGGACUAAUGCCGGAUGUGCUCACCGGUCGUAUGACUGGUGAGUAAAGAUUUAUCGCUUCGGGAGGGGCCGAUGUCCCAUCAGCUUGUUGGUAGGGUAAUGGCCUACCAAGGCAAUGACGGGUAGCGGGUGUGAGAGCAUGACCCGCCUCACUGGGACUGAAACACUGCCCAGACUCCUACGGGAGGCUGCAGUCGAGAAUCUUCCCCAAUGGGCGAAAGCCUGAGGGAGCGACGCCGCGUGUAGGAAGAAGCCCUUCGGGGUGUAAACUACUUUUCUUUGGGAAAAACUUUGAUGGUACCAGAGGAAUAAGGGGCUGCUAACUUCGUGCCAGCAGCAGCGGUAAUACGAAGGCCCCAAGCGUUAUCCGGAUUUAUUGGGCGUAAAGAGUUCAACGGCGGUUCGUCAAGUUUUUGGUUAAAUUUCGGGGCUUAACUCCGAAGCUGCCAAAAAAACUAGCGGACUUGAGGAUGGGAGAGGCAAGCGGAACUGCUGGUGUAGCAGUUAAAUGCGUUAAUAUCAGCAGGAACACCAAUGGCGAAGGCAGCUUGCUAGAACAUUCCUGACGCUCUAUGAACGAAAGCGUGGGUAGCGAAUGGGAUUAGAUACCCCAGUAGUCCACGCCGUAAACGAUGGGUACUAGGUAUUGGGGGCUCGACCCCCUCAGUAUCGUUUAACCAAGCUAACGCGUUAAGUACCCCGCCUGGGGAGUACGGCCGCAAGGCUAAAACUCAAAGGAAUUGACGGGAGCCCGCACAAGCGGUGGAGCAUGUGGUUUAAUUCGACAAUAAGCGAGGAACCUUACCAAGGCUUGACAUCCCGGGAAUCCUGCCGAAAGGCGGGAGUGCCGCAAGGAACCCGGUGACAGGUGCUGCAUGGCUGUCGUCAGCUCGUGUCGUGAGAUGUUGGGUUAAGUCCUCUAACGAGCGCAACCCCUGUGACAUGUUACAAUGUUCAUGUCAGACUGCCCCCGAUAAGGUGGGAGGAAGGAAGGGAUGACGUCAAGUCAGCAUGGUCCUCUGACGCCUUGGGCUACACACGUGCUACAAUGGGAAGGACAACGGGUUUUGCGAAAUCGCAAGAUGAAGCUAAUCCUCCAAACUUUUCCUCAGUUCGGAUUGAGGGCUGCAACUCGCCCUCAUGAAGUCGGAAUCGCUAGUAACCGCGCAUCAGCCACGGCGCGGUGAAUACGUUCUCGGGCUUUGUACACACCGCCCGUCAAGCCAAGAGAGUCGGUAAUACCCGAAGUACCCGCGUUCGCGGGUCCGAAGGUAGGGCCGAUGAUAGGGGCUAAGUCGUAACAAGGCAUCCGUAGCGGAAGCUGUGGAUGGAUCACCUCCUUU